GUUAGCUUUUAUAAUAAUCUCUCUCUCCAAAAUUAGUUAGAAACUCAACUUAAAUUCCAAUGAAAUUCAAUCUAAAUUCACUCCAAAUCCACAAAACAGUUAGGAUUCUGUUACGAAAUUCCUUCUAAAUUCCAAAUGAAACUCACUUGCACAAUUUGGUUGAUUAGUGUGAGUUGGGUUGAAAUGAACAGGUUAUUUAAAAUCCAAAUUGAAACUCAAAUGGAAUGUUAAAUGAAAUUGAAACUCAAAUGAAAAUGGAAUGUUAUUUUUUUUUUGAGUUAGUAUUUCUUGGAAAUUCUGCAGGAUUCUGUCAAACUCGGUUUCCCGUCAUCUGGUGUGGUAAGUCUGCAGUGGCUAUGAGUUUUUGGGUGACUUUUGUAAUCUGCAUAUUCGACAUUGAUUAUGUCGCAUCCCGCUUUGGUUCCAAUGUGAAUAUUGUAGGUGAAAAUGCAUGGCUCUUGGAGGUAUGUCAUGGUGAUGGCGGCCGCAUGCAGUUCACAUCAAAGUCAUUGGGGAUUAAAGGCCAAUGGUUAAGGCUGGCCUUUGGUGUGGAGUUUGUAGUGGUAAUAGGGAAAAUUAAAUGAGUCAUGGAAUAUGUAUUUUUUGUAUUGGAUUAUGAUAUGAAUGUUAUGAAUGAUUUAUACUUGAAUGUGUAGAUAGAAGUAUUGUGAUUAAUGGAGAUCGGAUGUAUGAUAUUUGAAUGAUGAAUGUUUUAGUUUUGUAUUAAAAUUUCAGAUUGUAAGUGGUUAGUAUAGGAUUAGAAUUUGGUUGUAAAAUUACAAGGAAAUGAAUGUUAUGAAUGAAUGAUUUAUUAAA